CCUACGGGUGGCAGCAGUAGGGAAUCUUCCACAAUGGGCGAAAGCCUGAUGGAGCAACGCCGCGUGGGUGAAGAAGGUCUUCGGAUCGUAAAACCCUGUUGUUAGAGAAGAAAGUGCGUGAGAGUAACUGUUCACGUUUCGACGGUAUCUAACCAGAACGCCACGGCUAAAUACGUGCCCGCAGCCGCGGUAAUACGUAGGGGGCAAGCGUUAUCCGGAUUUGUUUGGCGUAAAGGGAACGCAGGCGGGCUUUUAAGGCUGAUGGGAAGGCCUUCGGCUUAACCGGAGUAGUGCAUUCGAAACUGGGAGACUUGAGUGCAGAAGAGGCGAGCGGAACGCCAUGUGUAGCGGUGAAAUGCGUAGAUAUAGGGAAGAACACCAGUGGCGAAAGCGGCGCUCUGGUCUGUAACUGACGCUGAGGUUCGAAAGCGUGGGGAGCAAACAGGAUUAGAUACCCUGGUAGUC
rnacentral:rRNA from 1 species